UGAUCAAAGGCAUCCGUACUGAGUUGCUCUUGAAGCAGCUAGCUAUAGUUAGUUCAAGAAACCUUUGCUAUUGAGCAUCAUGGCACAGAAAAUCAUUUGGUUAACCUUUCUUGUCUUCCUAAUUUUACAACACAACUUUGGCACAAUGGAAGCAUCAAGAAAGCUCAUCCAUACUCACCCUCCACCAGCUAUACCUAGGAGUCCACAAGCUCCUGCACUUUGGUACACCCCCAAUGAUGAGGAUGGUGGUCAUGAUGCUUUUCGCCCAACGUGUCGUGGUCAUAGCCCUGGUGCGGGGCAUGAUAACCCACCCACUAAACCAUAGCUAGCUUCAAAGGAUUUUGGGCUUGAAGAAUGAAAUAGUAUGCUUGCUAUGGUUAUUGGUAACGGUAAUAAUGUUUAGUAAUGUUAUUUAUUGUUUUCAUUUCAUGGAGGUCUGCUUUUUGUCUGUAUUCGAAAGUUGCUUGCAUUACUAUUAGAGUGUUUUGGACCUUAACUUUGGUAUAUGCAUAAAUUGAGUUUCCUAUGUAUUUUGUUGCUGAGACUAAUAAUAGGAUCAUCUUUUGUAAGCUUCGUAUGGAUUAGUUUUUUUUUUUUAUCAUCAUGUUAUUAGUAUGAAGUAUUACUAACUUUAUCAAUUGUGGGAAAAUUGAUUGAUCAAUUUUAGUAAGAUUUUUUAUUUCUAAUUAUAUUUUAGUUUGAAAAUGAGAUUUUACUUAAAAAAAAUUGAAUUUGGUAUCAAUUAAACUAAUGACUCGUUGGUAUGUUAUCUUUUGUUUAAAAGAGAUUAAACUCAUAUGUGGCUGACUGGCUGCCUGUAUAUGUAUAUAUAUAAGGAAGGGGAGAAAAAAAAACUUUGGAUCGGUGAGUUCGAUGAAUUAUUUAACUAAAGAAAAAUACUCAGUCCACAGUAGUCGGCAUAUUUAAGCUUAAAUUUAGACAUACAGUUGAUGGUUGAUGGUGGAUGAACAUGCGCUAUUACGCAUGAUAAGUGGACCACUUUCAGUUCCGAAGUUAUAUGACUUUACUUUUUAAUGUUUUGAUAGUUUGUUUGCACAUUAUCUAUUCUUUGUAAUCAGAAAUUCUUUCCUCGGAGUUCUAUUAAUUCAUAAUUUAUUCCUAGGUGACGAGCCUUUUUUUUAGAUGCCUAGGUGGCGAGCCUGAACGAGAAGAUACAAGGAGUAUUUGCAUGUUUUUAAUUUCCAGCCAAAUCUCACUUUACUCUUCUUUUCUUUCUUUUCAACAAAAUUGCAC
rnacentral:lncRNA from 1 species